CCGGGCCCUGAGGGUAGCGGCCCGCGGCCCGCGGCCCACAGAGAAGCGUCCACUGGGCUGGAAGCAGGAGGCUGAGUCCAGGACGCGGGGCGGGCCUGGGGGCCUGCGGCAGGCGGGGAGGGUCUGCAGCGCGUAGCUGGGCCCCUAGGACUGCGGUGUCGGCAGGGCUAGGCGUUUGCGAAGGCACAGCAUUCUGCAGAGGGAAGGGAUACAGGCAGGUGCACACCCGCCGUGAGGGUUCCAUAGAGGGACCGGAAGAAGACACGGGCCCCUAGGGAGGUGAGGAGACCCUUCUGGGUGGAAAAUAGGGAAAAGAUAAACUGGAGUUGGGUGUGCGCACACACACACACACACACACACACACACAAGCUACUAAUUCUGGAACUCUACCCCAAGAGGCCCCCCAGAUGAGAACUCUAUAUCUUAGGCCUUAAAUCUGUAGACCCAGUUAGAGAUCUAACAUUUAGCUCUUCUGUUCUCCCAGGAGCUACUUGAUAAGAAGGAUAUUAAUCUGUUCAGUAAAUGAGGUAAUGGAGUCAGAGCAGAUUGGUUAUUUGCCCAGGUCAAACACUGAGGAAGCGAAGGCAAAAGUCCCAGUUUCUAGGGACCUAAUUCUGAGCCUUUUUCAAAGGAUUCUAUGCAUUUCUGAUAGGAAAAGCAGUGUAUUCUGUUAUAAAACCAGUUUCUUCCAGAAUUUGAUUCUUCAGAGAGAGGACAAUGACAAUUACCCCCUUAUUAACCAAGAAGGUUCUGGAGACACAACUGAAUUGUUAUUUGUUGAAGACCUCACAGGACGUGGAGAUGGAGAGUUGUAGGUUCUACCCACUUGAUCUGACUAAAGCCUAUUUCCUGGAGUCCUCAAUAACAAGAGUCCAUCCCCAUGCAGCAGGUACCAUGUAGUUUUCCAGUGACUCUUGGUGGAUGUGCAGUUGUUGAUCAGUAAUACCUUGAACUCUCAAGUGAAUUUGCUGGCACUUUGAACAAGUUGGAAGUGCAUCCUCCAAGUAAGAGUUCCUAGUCAUCACAACAUAUAGCUAAAUAUGCAGUUUUCAAGAAUGCCCAGGUUAACAAGACAAAGAAUUGUAGUAUCAUAAUACUAAUUCCUUAAAUCAGGAUAGGACAUAUUAGAGAAACAAAGAUUAUACAUUAAACCAUUACAUAAAUAAAGUAUAACAGUUCAGAAAUUAGGGUCCUGAAGUUAGAAGGAAUAUUCCAAAAGGGAAAAAGUAGAGCAGGAGAGGGGUGGGCCUGGGUCUAGAACUUCCUAAGAAUUGUUCAAAGGUAACAUGAAAUCCCUUAUUUGGUUCUUAUAAUCUAAGAGAAACUGGACAGGAGCCAGUUAUGAAAGCUGAAAUGUUUUUUUAGGAUUCUGAAUUCUUUGGGGCUUAGAAAAUAACAGGCAGCAGUUAGGAAAUGGAAGAUCCCAUUCUCAUGCCAAAAUCAAAAUACAAACAGGAGUGACCAUUAAAUGGGGAAAAAAUAUAUAUAUUUGUGUUCUUUGCUUUCCUGCCUCCUAUUUCCUUCUAGACUCAUGUCUGUGUUAUCCUUUUGUCUUUGAACGCAUUUUACAGUGACAUUAUAUAUGAUUAUGUUAUAUCGAGCAAUCAAAAUGUCCUUUUUCUACUCAGUUCCUGUUUAUCCUUCGCACUUAAAAAUUCUGCCUUUUUCUGUUUGUUGUUUUGUUUUUGUUUUUCCCUCCUUAGGUGCUCAGGAACAGCCCAUGGAAGAAUUAUAUGAAGAGGUGGUGAUUAAGAUUAUAGAGCAGGAGUGGACAUGUUUGGAUUUCCAACAGCUACCCUGCUGGACUGUCAUGGAAGAUAUGCCCAGAAUGUAGCAUUUUUCAGUGAGUGAGUCCGCUGGUGGCUGGGAUGUCUUCUGAACACAGAUACUCAGAGUCCAUGUCCUCAGCACUGGUCCUCAGUCUGAGGAAGCAGAGGAGACGUUCCUUUGAUGGAGCUCACUAUUCCUAGGGGUUACAGAAAAAGCCUGCAAGCUAGAGGGCUAUGCUAGCCCUCGCAUGCAUAGAAAUAGUCAGAACAGAGCAAGAGAACAGUCUAGACAUGGAGGUAGACUCGAAGUAAUAUCAGAAUGAGUGAGCACCUUUAACUGUCAGCACUAUCACUGGAUAAGAAUAAAGCAGGAAAUAAGGAGAAAUUUUCCAUAGGGGAAAAAAAAAACAGUGAUGAAUGGAUCCAUAUUUAAAGCACAUAAGAGGCUCAGAUACAGGGCAGUAUUGGAAAAUAUUAUUGAUACCUACAUAUGAAGUUUGAGAAUAACUUCCAAACCAAAAUUUAUUUUAGUUCCACCAUAGCUUAAAUAAACUAAAAAUAGUAUAGAUUUUAAAGGAAGGAAUUUGUUAGAUUCUAUAAUUUCCUGACUAUAUUUUAAUAUCAGAUAAGUUACUUAACUUCCUUAAGCUCCAGGCCUUCAUCUGUAAAAUGGAACAAUGAGUUCUGACUUGUACAGUUGCAGGUAUUAAAGACAAUAGACGUAUAAAAUCUAGGAUUGUGCUACAUAUUUUCUAAGGUCAUAGCGCUUACUCCACUCUUAAGAGCAAACUUAAGGAAUAGGGUGGAAUUGGGUUGACUUUUCAUAGAACUAAUACAGCUUGUGUGUCCGGAGCCCUUGCUUGCAUUGGUCUCUUCAGGACCCUUUGCCCAAUUUUGUACUUUUUUUUAAAGGGGUACCUCUAAAGUUUUAAAGCUUUAGACCCUUUACAUCCUGGAACCACACCUGUUUAGGAAUCAGAUAAAGCUUGAGUACAGGGCUCUUGUGAGAUCCUGUAUGUUUUCCUUGAUUUUCAGAGCCUAUUUUCUUACCUACAAAAUAGAGGUAAUUGUGUCUACCUCACAAGAUUAUUUGGAAGACUAAAUUAAAUGUAGAGGCAAUACACAGCUAUGGAGUAUUCCAGUGUUUGAAACCCACCUCUAACUUAUUUAGCUACAUGGUCUUGACAACCUCCCUAUGCUCUCUUUUCCUGAUCUGUAGCAAUCCCAUAGGAUUAAAUUAUUCCAGGAUUAAAUUAUCUAUGCAAAGUUCAUAGUCUAAUGCCUGGCACUUAAUAAGCACUCAAACGAUUGUGUUUCUAUUUUCCAUAUUCUUCUCACUCAGCAUAUUGGUACCUCUUACAUGACUUCCCUCUCAUUUUAUCAGAUGUGAUGACAGAAGCUCACCACAAAUAUGAUCACUCUGAGGCCACAGGAUCCUCAAGCUGGGAUUUCCAGAAUUCUUUCAGAAGAGAGAAGCUGGAACAAAAAUCCCCAGAUUCUAAGACACUACCGGAAGAUUCACCUGGGGUGAGACAGAAGGUCUAUGAGUGCCAAGAAUGUGGAAAGUCCUUCAGGCAAAAAGGUAGUCUAACAUUACAUGAGAGAAUUCACACUGGUCAGAAGCCCUUUGAGUGUACCCAUUGUGGAAAAAGCUUCAGGGCCAAAGGCAAUCUUGUUACACAUCAGCGAAUACACACGGGAGAGAAGCCUUAUCAGUGCAAGGAGUGUGGGAAAAGCUUUAGUCAGCGUGGUAGUCUGGCCGUCCAUGAGAGACUCCACACUGGACAGAAACCCUAUGAGUGUGCCAUUUGUCAAAGAAGCUUCAGGAAUCAAAGUAACCUUGCUGUUCACCGAAGAGUUCACAGUGGUGAGAAGCCCUAUAGAUGUGAUCAGUGUGGAAAAGCUUUCAGUCAGAAAGGAAGCUUAAUUGUUCACAUUAGAGUCCACACAGGUCUAAAACCCUAUGCCUGUACCCAGUGCAGGAAGAGUUUCCACACCAGGGGGAAUUGUAUUCUGCAUGGCAAAAUCCACACAGGAGAGACACCCUAUCUGUGUGGUCAAUGUGGAAAAAGCUUCACUCAGAGAGGAAGUCUGGCUGUGCACCAGAGAAGCUGCUCACAAAGGCUCACCCUUUGACCAUUCUAUUCAAAGGAAGUUUUAUUUCUGAAUUAAGGGUACAAAACCCUCUGUUACUGAGCUGCAUAUCCAAUUCUAUGGAAUGAAUGGAGAACAUUCCAGGAAAACCAGUAGGUUAAACAAACUUUUUUCCUUAUCCUCAAAUGAGUAUGAAAAAUAAAUGUCUUGUUUAUCAUUAUCAUGCAUUUUUCAUAAUUUGUCAUGAAUUUUUCAUAUUUUGACUUAAUUUCCCAGGGUACCCUCAUUAAUCUAGAGUCAUACUAGAGAUUGAGUAUAGUAGAUACAGAUUUUAAAUUUGUAUUUGACACCAUCGGCCUUUAAAAAUAUCAGCCCCUAAUCAACCCCAAUGCUGGCAGCUGGAAGUGCACCCCAAGGUCAUUUUCUU
rnacentral:lncRNA from 1 species